rnacentral:rRNA from 1 species
GACGAACGCUGGCGGCGUGCUUAACACAUGCAAGUCGAACGGAAAGGCCCUGCUUGCAGGGUACUCGAGUGGCGAACGGGUGAGUAACACGUGGGUGAUCUGCCCUGCACUUCGGGAUAAGCCUGGGAAACUGGGUCUAAUACCGGAUAUGACCUUCCAUGUAGUGUGGGGGGUGGAAAGAUUUAUCGGUGUGGGAUGAGCCCGCGGCCUAUCAGCUUGUUGGUGGGGUAAUGGCCUACCAAGGCGUCGACGGGUAGCCGGCCUGAGAGGGUGGACGGCCACAUUGGGACUGAGAUACGGCCCAGACUCCUACGGGAGGCAGCAGUGGGGAAUAUUGCACAAUGGGCGGAAGCCUGAUGCAGCGACGCCGCGUGGGGGAUGACGGCCUUCGGGUUGUAAACCUCUUUCGACAGGGACGAAGCUUCGGUGACGGUACCUGUAUAAGAGGCACCGGCUAACUACGUG